UACAGAGGUCCCAAGCGUUGUUCGGAUUCACUGGGCGUAAAGGGUGCGUAGGUGGUGAGGUAAGUCGGAUGUGAAAUCUCCAAGCUCAACUUGGAAACUGCAUUGGAAACUACCUUGCUAGAGGAUUUGAGGGGGGAUUGGAAUACUUGGUGUAGCAGUGAAAUGCGUAGAUAUCAAGUGGAACACCAGUGGCGAAGGCGAAUCCCUGGAAAAUACCUGACACUGAGGCACGAAAGCUAGGGGAGCGAACGGG
rnacentral:rRNA from 1 species